rnacentral:rRNA from 1 species
ACUCAAAUGAAUUGACGGGGGCCCGCACAAGCGGUGGAGCAUGUGGUUUAAUUCGAUGCAACGCGAAGAACCUUACCAGCUCUUGACAUACUAGGUUUCGACUCCGAGAGAUUGGAGUUUUCAGUUCGGCUGGGCCUAGUACAGGUGCUGCAUGGCUGUCGUCAGCUCGUGUCGUGAGAUGUUGGGUUAAGUCCCGCAACGAGCGCAACCCUCAUCUUCAGUUGCCAUCAGGUUAUGCUGGGCACUCUGAAGAAACUGCCGGUGACAAGCCGGAGGAAGGUGGGGAUGACGUCAAGUCCUCAUGGCCCUUACGGGCUGGGCUACACACGUGCUACAAUGGCGGUGACAGUGGGAUGCGAUGGCGCAAGCCGGAGCGAAUCUCCAAAAGCCGUCUCAGUUCGGAUUGCACUCUGCAACUCGGGUGCAUGAAGUCGGAAUCGCUAGUAAUCGUGGAUCAGCAUGCCACGGUGAAUACGUUCCCGGGCCUUGUACACACCGCCCGU